rnacentral:lncRNA from 1 species
UCAGCUUGAAGCACUUCCUGUAGCAUUGCUUAUGGCGACGGUCUCCUGACAACAGAUUUUUAUUUGGCUUAUCUGGAAAUGUCUUUGUUUUUCUCCUAUGUUGGAGGAAUAGUUAACUGGACGUCCAAGUCAUGAUUGGAAGUUACUUUUCUUUCCUCUCUUCCAGCAUAGCAUUCAUUCCUUCUGGCCUUCCUUGUUUCUGCUUAGAGGUAGCUUCCUGAGAGCCUCCUGUGGCAGUGCGGUCCCUGCUCCAUGGCCAGUGACGGGAUGGCCCUGCCCCAGGGGCACACUGCAGCUCUCGGAGCUGCUUUCUGCAGCGGCACCCACCCCAGAGAAGCCUGUGCCUUCUCUCCCAAGCUGAGAAGCUUGUGUCUGCAGAAGAAGCUCCUCUCUGGCCUUCAGGGCCUGCUCUGCCAGGCCCAGCCCGGCCUCGCCACCCUAAUACCCCGCACCCUAAUCCAGCACAGACUGACGUCUGGCCCAGCAGAACCAGUUACUCCCAUGCCUGCCGUCACCGUGCAGCGAGCAUGAUGUGCCAUGAUGUGCUGCCGGGUCACAGCCCCAAAGGCAACAGGGCCAGCUGCCCAGGAGCUGAAACCUGGAGCCACGCUGUUAGGUUAUCCUAGUUAUUUUGUCGCCAACAUAAGCUCUCUCACCACUCCUUAACUCUGUUGUUGCUUUGCCUAGAAUGCCCUUUCAUACAUAUCACACAGUCAGACCUGCCUCCUAAGCCUCCAGCGCCAGGAAGCCCUCAGUGGUCCCUCCAGCUGGACACGCUACCUUCUCCCUGGAACACCCUUUCUGUGGCCCCACCUGCAAACACUGUCACACUGGAAUUAGGAUUUCAACCUAAAACUAAUGAACUUAAGAAUUAAUCCAUUAAUGAAUUUAAUGAAUUAGAGGAGAUGGUACUGGGCAGCCCUCUGCACCCCAAUACCUGUGAGUGUGACCUUCCUCAGAAACAGGGUCUUCUCAGAUGUAAUUAGGUAUCUCAAGAUGAGACUGCCCUGGACUUAGUCUGGACCCUGAAUCCAGUGACUGGUAUCUGCAGUAGAGACAGAAACAGGAAAUGUGGGACACACACACACUGGUGCAAUGCAGUGGAGGAGGCCAGGGGAGGGCUGGGGAGAGAUUAGAGUUCUGCUUCUCCAAGCCAAGGAAGGCCCGGAGCCAUGGAGGCUGGAAGCGGUGAGGCAGGCGGUCUGGAGCACCUGUGGAGACAGCACGGCCGCAGUCAGUCACCGUGAGUGCGGACUUGGAUCUCCAGAGCCGUCUGAGAAUAGAUGUCCUUCCUCACUUCUGAGCCAUCGCGUUGUGGUGAUUUGCCACGCGGCCUCAGGGAACUAGGACGUGAGCCCACUAUACCACCAAGUCACAAACUGAUUUCUUCAGCC